GCUCUCUCCAGAGGAGGCGCUGAGUGAGUGGCUGCCACAUCUUAUUAUUUUAUUAAUCAAUUGGCAGGCAAUUUUUUAAAGUUGGAAUUGUUUUAAAUAUAAGAAUUAACUACAAAAUUUUAAUAAAAUGCCUUCUCCAUUCAAAUCACUUUUUUGUUUUUCAUUUAUUUAAAUCGAGAUAAAAUUCAUAUAACAUAAAGUUCAACACAUUAACAAUAUUAAAGUGUAAAAAACUUUGUUCUUCUCCUUCAAUAUUGUGUGGCUAUUCUGGGUCUUGUGUCUCUCCAUAUAAGCUUUAGAAUCAGUUCAUUGGUAGCCACAAAAUAACUUCCUGGGAAUUUGAUUAGGAUUGCAUUGAAUCUAUAAAUCAAGGAAAAACCAGGCAGCUUUACAGUAUCUAAUCUUUAAGUCCAUGAAUAUGUAAUAUCUCUCUAUUUAGUUCUUUGACUUUUUUCAUUAGUGUUUUGUGAUUAUCUUCAUAUAGAUCUUGUACAUAUUUUGUUAGAUUUACAUCUAACUCUUGCAUUUUGAGGGGUGUUAAUUAAAUGGUUUGUGUUUUUAAUUUCAAAUUUCACAUGUUAUUGCUAAUACAGCCAUCAGUAUUGGUGGGGGAUUGGUUACAGAAUUCCUUAUGGAUACCAAAAUCCUUGAAUAUUUAAGUCUCAUAUAAAAUGCUGUACUAUUUGCAUAUAACCUGUGCAUAUCUUCUCAUAUACUUUAAAUA
rnacentral:lncRNA from 1 species